AAAAACACAAAAAAGUAAAACAAACAAAUGAUGCAGAGAUGAAAGAGGAGGGUGAAGGGAAAGGGCGUGCUAGGUGUUGGCUGGUCCCCACCCCACCCUGACAAGUGACCAUGGACCCAGGAGUUGGCCCAGAGUCAUCUCUCACCGUCAAUGAGCAGGUCAUCGUGAUGUCAGGCCAUGAGACCAUCCGCGUGCUGGAAGUUGGAGUGGAUGCCCAGGUCCCUGCUGAGGAGGAGGGCAAAGGACUGGAGGGUGUGGCCGCCGAGGGCUGCCAGAGUGGAGGUCCUGCUGAAGCCAGUGAACCUGCUGGUGAAGCUGGGCCAGACAACCCAGACUCUUCUGCGGAGGCAACUGUGAAGUCACUCCCGGGGAUCCCUGCGAGUCCUGCCCCGGCUGUCGCCACUUUCAGCCAACCCCCAAGCCAGCCUCAGGCAUCGCAGACCCUGACGCCGCUGGCUAUACAAGCUGCCCCCCAGGUCUUGACUCAGGAAAACUUAGCCACAGUUCUGACAGGAGUUAUGGUUCCAGCAGGGGCAGUUACUCAACCUCUUCUUAUCCCCAUCAGUAUUGCAGGUCAAGUGGCUGGUCAGCAGGGGCUGGCCGUGUGGACAAUUCCUACAGCAACCGUGGCCGCCCUCCCAGGACUGACCGCUGCUUCUCCUACGGGGGGAAUUUUCAAGCCACCUUUAGCCAGUCUCCAAGCAGCGGCCGUGCUGAACACCGCUCUGCCGGCACCCGUACAAGCUGCCCCACCGGUACAGGCCUCCUCGCCCGUCCAGCCCCGGCCACCAGCACAGGCCCAGACGCUGUUCCAGACCCCGCCACCGCCGCUGCUGCAGAACACGCCCGCCAUUCUACCGCAGCCCACUGCUGCCACCGCUACCGCCCCCGCCCCCAAGCCAGUGGACACCCCCCCACAGAUCACCCUACAGCCUGCCAGCUUCGCAUUUAGCCCAGGAAUCAUCAGUGCUGCUUCCCUCGGGGGACAGACCCAGAUCCUGGGCUCCCUCACGACAACUCCGGUCAUUGCCAACGCCAUUCCCAGCAUGCCAGGGAUCAGCAGUCAGAUCCUCACCAAUGCUCAGGGACAGGUUAUUGGAACGCUUCCGUGGGUAGUGAACUCAGCUAGCGUGGCAGCACCAGCACCAGCCCAAAGCCUGCAGGUCCAGGCUGUGACCCCCCAGCUGCUGUUAAACGCCCAGGGCCAGGUGAUUGCAACCCUGGCCAGCAACCCCCUGCCUCCACCUGUGGCUGUCCGGAAGCCAAGCACGCCCGAGUCCCCUGCUAAGAGUGAGGUGCAGCCCAUCCAGCCUACGCCAGCCGUGCCCCCGCCUACAGUGGUCAUCGCCAGCCCAGGCCCAGCGGCCAAACCAUCGGCCUCUGCUCCCAUCCCAAUUACCUGCUCAGAGACGCCCACUGUCAGCCAGUUGGUGUCCAAGCCACAUAACCCAAGUCUGGAUGAGGAUGGGAUCAACUUAGAAGAGAUCCGGGAGUUUGCCAAGAACUUUAAGAUCCGGCGGCUGUCUCUGGGCCUCACACAGACCCAGGUGGGCCAGGCUCUGACUGCGACGGAAGGCCCGGCCUACAGCCAGUCUGCCAUCUGCCGGUUCGAGAAGCUGGACAUCACCCCGAAGAGCGCCCAGAAGCUGAAGCCGGUGCUGGAGAAGUGGCUGAAUGAAGCCGAACUCCGGAACCAGGAAGGCCAGCAGAACCUGAUGGAGUUUGUGGGAGGGGAGCCCUCCAAGAAACGCAAACGCCGCACCUCCUUCACCCCCCAGGCCAUCGUGGCUCUCAACGCCUACUUCGAGAAGAACCCACUGCCCACUGGCCAGGAGAUCACCGAGAUUGCCAAGGAGCUCAAUUACGACCGGGAGGUCGUGCGGGUCUGGUUCUGCAAUCGGCGCCAGACGCUCAAGAACACCAGCAAGCUGAACGUCUUUCAGAUCCCUUAGGGCUCGGCCCCCGGCCCUGCGUUCCAGCACUUUGUACUUGUCCCUUGGCACCUGGCUGCAGCCACGGCUGUGACAGCACCGUCAUUCUGACAGGUCUUCUCAGAAGGCAAACGAAACAAUAAACCAGACUGCAAGGCCUGGGGGAGAGGCCAGCACCCAGCCCAGAGAAGUCUCUUGUGGAAGGUGACUUAACUCUAAUUUUCUCUGUAGCUUUAAGCCUUGGGUACUGGAUGAGAAACCUUAUUUUGUCCCGAGUCUUAGACCCUGUGUUUGUGUAAGAAAUCUCCCCAGUACUCCGCUGAACCAAGAAUAUCCCUGGGACAGGAGGGGUUUUGCCUCUAGAGAGGGUAACUAUGGCACAUUGGGGGUUGGCACCUCAUCCGAGCUCCUGGGUUUCCCAGCCUCACUGUGGCUGGACAACCCCUGGAACUCAGCCUGUGACUCCAGGAAGUCAAGAGAGCACCAAGAGGUUGGCGUAGAUGAGCCCAGCCUUGCUGUAUAGAGCAUCCCUAAAGGGCCACAAGCCACGGGGUCAGCCACCCCCUCUCUUCACUACUCUUGUCCUUACAAAGCCGGGUCUCUAGCAGCUGCCUUCCCCUGCGCCUCGCAUGGUACCCCUGAGGAAGUGACUGCCGGCGAGAACACAUCUCCAGCUCUGCUGGUCACUGGCAGCCACCUCCUAGCCUGGCCUUCACCCGCAUGCUGUUUCCUUUCCUGCCUGCAGCUGGUCCCUCCCAGGCCCUGCAGUGCCAGCGGGGCCACCCUCUUGGUAGCCCUGCCAGGGGGAAGACAGUUGUGUGUCAAAUUGCCACACGUACACACACACUCCCGCCCCGCUGCAUUGGGACCAACAGGCCUGCCAGAGUGAGGAAGCUGGUGGGCAUCCUGCCCGCCCCAGUUUCCCAAGAAAAAAUGUCUCCAAGGGGAGGCUCCACACUCAAGGUCAAGGUUAUCAACCUGUCUCGGUGAGAAGAAGGGAGGAGGAUUGUAAACACGUUUUCAGUACUAGUUAAAGUACUGGAGUUUAAGGAUUCAGCGAUUUACACGUCAAUAAAUUAGAGCGGCAGUUUUCAACCCUUUUCAUCUCAUGGCACACAUAAAGGGAUCACUAUAAUUCUGCAGCACACCCAAAAAUAUAUUUUUUGCCAAUCUGACAAAAAAGUAGGUAUACUUUUGAUUCGGUCACACCGAUGGCUAUUGUUCUGUGUUGCCUGUUGACGUUUUUAAAUUUGACAAUCUAAGGGAAAGGAGGUCAGUGCCCCUGACCAAAUAGUCAAGUAGUGCAUGUUUAAAAAAUGUCUGUGGCCCACCGGUUGAAACUCUCUGAAUGAGAGAGAGACAGGUUUUCACCCUCAAACACUUGCGUUCAGAUAUGCUUCCUUCCAGGUGGGUCAUGGUGGAAACCCUGGGAGUCGCAUAUAAUCCAGGCUGUGCCCAGGGCAGUGGCUCUGCAGGACGCCAUCUGUCUGGUGUGAGGGCAGGAAAAGGAUCACGAACUGCUGCUGGUCUAAAUUAGGCCGGGCCUUGCUUUCUCAGCUCCUCUCUCGUCUAAAUCCGUCUUCCAGAGGCUGAGGUAGAGCUAAAUCGUUUUCUCCUCUACAAGAAGAACGGGUAGGUCUUUCUGAAGAACAAUACCAGGGUCGGAAUAUUUGCAAGCUGAAUUCCCCAGGCAGGAGGGCGUGGGGUGUCCCUGAAAUAUGCCCAAAGCAGAGCUUACUGGCCUGCAAUCUCUCUCCUGCUUCCCACUGUAGGCCGCCACCACCACCGCCGCCACCACCGCCACC